ACGUUGAAACACCGGUUCUCAUAUGAUCACUGAAGUUAAGCAAUAUUGAGCCUGUUCAGUACCUAGAGGGUGACCGCUUGGUAAUAUCAGGUGAUGUAAG